UCCAAUUCCCACUAACAGCCAGGAUCUUUUCCUAACCCUUGCAGAAGUACCCUGCCAGCCCUCUCAAGCCAGUAGCACAGAAAAUGAUGCUGUGGAAUCGUCCUCUGCUGCACAUUUCUCCAGCCUCCCUCUCCCUUCUCCUGUCCGAUGGGGAGGUCACAUAAGAAGGCUAAGAAAAAGGAGGACGCAUGAGGAGAUGUUCACAGAAAUUAUGGCAGUAACCCGUACUGAGAGAGCUCAGCAGGGGGACUGGAAACAAUUGGUCGCAAAGUACAGGGAGGCUGCCAGUCAACGCGAAGACAGGAGGGACCAACGCGAAGACAGGAGGGAUGCUAAAAAUGAUUUCAGGUGGCAGGAAGAUCAGCGCUGGUGGGCAGCAACGCUGGAUCUUCUUCGUGAUCAGACUGACAUACUCCGCGAUAUGCUGGAAGAGCUGCGUGGUCUCAGGUUGCCUCUGCAGCCCAUGUAUAACCUCCCUCAGUACUCACCCUGUCCCACACCGUCCAGAACCAGGCGUGUAAGAACGCGUGGGGGAAGGGUAUCUGCACCAGCCAACUACACCCCUGUGGACAGUCCAACCAGAAGGCUGUCAUUACAUUGAAAACCCCUUACUGUUAUGUUUCUUCCCUCCUGUACUCCUCUCAAACCUCUCCCUUGGCACCAUUUACUUACUGUACUCUCAGGACAUGCUAUUCAAAGUCAGUGUGAGGGUGGGUUGUUAAAGAAAUAAAGCAUGCAGCUUUGCAAAGCUUCAGGGAAGCUAGUUUGCAGCAUCAGGAGUUAACACAUGGGGAGGUGGGUAAUACAGGGAAAAUGAACAAAGCAGUCAUACCGUACCAUGGUCCAUGAUAAA